rnacentral:rRNA from 1 species
AUACGGAGGAUCCAAGCGUUAUCCGGAUUUAUUGGGUUUAAAGGGUGCGUAGGCGGACUUAUAAGUCAGCGGUGAAAGUUUGCAGCUUAACUGUAAAAUUGCCGUUGAAACUGUUAGUCUUGAGUGUAAAUGAGGUAGGCGGAAUGUGUUGUGUAGCGGUGAAAUGCUUAGAUAUAACACAGAACACCAAUUGCGAAGGCGGCUUACUGGUCCAUUACUGACGUUGAGGCGCGAAAGCGUGGGGAGC